rnacentral:rRNA from 1 species
CCCUUAGAUGUUCUGGGCCGCACGCGCGCUACACUGUUCGACGCAGCGAGUCUUAACCUUGACCGAAAGGUUUGGGUAAUCUUUAGCAAAGUCGAACGUGAUGGGGAUCGAUCAUUGCAAUUAUUGAUCGUGAACGAGGAAUUCCUAGUAAGUGCAAGUCAUCAGCUUGCGCUGAUUACGUCCCUGCCCUUUGUACACACCGCCCGUCGCUACUACCGAUUGAAUGGUUUAGUGAGAUCUCUGGAUUGACGCUGGCUAGGGGGCGACCCUUGGCCAGGCUGUCGAGAAACUGCUCAAACUUGAUCAUUUAGAGGAAGUAAAAGUCGUAACA